rnacentral:snRNA from 1 species
GUGGUCACUUUGGCAGCACAUAUACUAAAUUUGGAAUGUACAGAGAAGAUUAUCAUGGCCCCUGUGCAAGGAUGACACACAAAUUUCUGAAGCAUUCCAUAUUUUU